UUAUGGAAAAAGUAUUGUUAUAUACAAUACUGGUAACACAGAAUGUGCCAUUUUGGGGUGGUACUGGUAAGGAAGUUUAAAAUUCUCUCAAAUCAAUAAAACUCUGCAGCAAUCAAUUGUGUAGAACAUGCCCAACUGAAGUGUGUAACACAUGAGAGUGUCUGGCAAAAUCAUUGGUUCAUUUCUGGGAAAGAAAUCAAAUUGCAUGAUGAAACCUCCUCAGCACUGUCAACCACUCAUGGAUGCAGGGUUUGGCACUGGAUAUGUCUUCAAUUUGGAAGAUGUGAAAUAUUAUCUUCAAACAACUCGACAAGCAUUUUUCUUCAAACCCACAAAUCUCAGUUAUAAGUACCACAUAAAUCUUUAAAACUGAGCAGCAGGUAAAAUCUGCUGCUUUUAAUUCUCCUCCAACCUUUGCUGAGCUGCUGUCCUUUAAAUUGUUGGUACAACUACUUAGUUUUCUUCCCCAACAUUACCAGUUGUUCAUGCUUUAUUAUAACUACUAAUCACCUAUUUUUUCUUCUCACCUGAAUGGUGGAAGAUAAUAUCCAUGUCACAGUGAUGCAACACUA